GCGGUAGUGAUGAAAUGGUAAACAUAAGAUGCUUAAACUAUCUGGGCAUAGGCCUUGUAGGUUCGAGUCCUACCUACCGCA